AUUGAACGCUGGCGGCAGGCUUAACACAUGCAAGUCGAGCGGAGAUGAGGUGCUUGCACCUUAUCUUAGCGGCGGACGGGUGAGUAAUGCUUAGGAAUCUGCCUAUUAGUGGGGGACAACAUUCCGAAAGGAAUGCUAAUACCGCAUACGCCCUACGGGGGAAAGCAGGGGAUCUUCGGACCUUGCGCUAAUAGAUGAGCCUAAGUCGGAUUAGCUAGUUGGUGGGGUAAAGGCCUACCAAGGCGACGAUCUGUAGCGGGUCUGAGAGGAUGAUCCGCCACACUGGGACUGAGACACGGACCAGACUACUACGGGAGGCAGCAGUGGGGAAUAUUGGACAAUGGGCGGAAGCCUGAUCCAGCCAUGCCGCGUGUGUGAAGAAGGCCUUUUGGUUGUAAAGCACUUUAAGCGAGGAGGAGGCUACUUGGAUUAAUACUCUAGGAUAGUGGACGUUACUCGCAGAAUAAGCACCGGCUAACUCUGUGCCAGCAGCCGCGGUAAUAC
rnacentral:rRNA from 1 species